rfam:Erwinia billingiae strain Eb661 complete plasmid pEB170.
GGCGCUUUAGGUGGCUCUUGGGCGAAAGUACUGACGACAGACCAUAAGCGGGAAGCCGUGGAGUUGAUGUGUGGAGCGACAGGUCUGUCGCAACGUCGCGCCUACAGGCUGACAGGUU